rnacentral:misc_RNA from 1 species
GAUGAAGAACGCAGCGAAAUGCGAUAAGUAAUGUGAAUUGCAGAAUUCAGUGAAUCAUCGAAUCUUUGAACGCACAUUGCGCCCGCCAGUAUUCUGGCGGGCAUGCCUGUUCGAGCGUCAUUUCAACCAUCAAGCCCCAGGCUUGUGUUGGAGCCCUGCGGCUGUCGCAGCCUCCCAAAACCAGUGGCGGGCUCGCUAUCACACCGAGUGCAGUAGUUUACUCUUCGCUCAGGGCGUGUGGCGGGUGCUAGCCGUAAAACCCCCAACUUCUCAAGGUUGACCUCGGAUCAGGUAGGAAUACCCGCUGAACUUAAGCAUAUCAAUAAGCGGAGGA